GGGGUUAUAGCUCAGUGGUAGAGCACUUGCCUCACAUGCAAGGCACUGGUUCAAUCCUCAGCACUA
rnacentral:tRNA from 1 species